AGAUGAUAUUCCUGAAAUUGACAAUUUCCACGUAAAACAAAGUCAAACGAACAUCAAAAAAUACUUUUACUUCAACAUUUUCCACGUGAAAAAUUUAUACAAUCAAACACAAUAAUUUACAAUUUCCAUGAAAACAAUUUCUAGGUAAUUCAAUUCCUUGGAAUUCAUUUUCUUUCCAUGUAAUUUUCCUACUUGUAAUCAAACGCACCCUAAUUGUUGGCUUUAAUUUAAUUUUUAAACAAAAUUUUAAGCCACACCAAACAAGGGCUAAAGAGAUGAAGUUUGUACUUCAAAUUAACUUACACAACUUUCAAAUAUGAAAAUACAACUUUAAAGAGUUUUAAGCUAGCAAGUUAUCCAAUUGAUAAUAUGUCAACAACCGAAAAGUUACAUAAUGCGUCAACUUUCAAUGUUGUUAUCACCGAGCAUCUCGAACUUAGUCCAGUAAGCAUGUUCACUUGGAAGAUACAGGGAGUAAGCUUGUCGUCUUACAAUAUUAUGUUAUACGCUCACUGACCUUAAAAGUAGAGUCGACGCAUUGGAGACUAGUAAUGAAGAAACACCACGAAUUUCAGUGUCGGUGGCAGAUAUAUCUCAAAUUCCAUGUGUAGCGUACAACAUAGUCUCGUAUGAUCCCAGCAAGAUGUCAAAAUUUCAAAAUAAAUGGCAAUAUCUUCCAACUCUGUAACUCGAGUUCUUCCAACUUCAAUGACUCCAUAGCUUGGUACAAAAGCAGUAGCAAUCAGUACCAGAAACGUAUAAAUUUGCAAAGGGUACUUCCAAUUAUUCACUAUAACAGAGAUCAUGUCCUCUUCACUUUUCUCCUUGAAUAAGCUCCCUUACCGGUUGUCGGAAUUCUAGCAGCAGCAGCAGCAGCAUAACAUCUCAGUUUCUCGAGGAUUUUCCUCUCACUGAUACGUAACAUCAAGGAAUGAUAUAAUUUAAACUCAGUUGCGCGGCAACACCCACACAAUGAUUUAAUGUCAUCAUCCAGAGAACUAAGACCAUACAAAGCUUCCCGGGAAUCUGCCAGCGACAAAAGAGCUUCACAAACAUCUUUAGUUGGCAAUAAAUUAUUGCUCAUUGAUCCUUUCACAAACAGAAUGUUCCCUUUUCCUGCGAAACAGAGGCUUGGAGAUUUGUUGAGAUUUCCCACAGCCGAUAAUGCAAGAUCAAUUUCAUGAUAUUCCUCCUCAGGUAACAACAUUAUGUAAAGUAAAACCAACAAGUCAACUUCUGGUUCCCCAUCAAAUGAGAUUUCAAAAUAUUCGGUGUUUUCACUAAAACAUCCAGAAUAGUCCAAUUUUCUCCACAGUGAUAACCUUCGUCUACUGUGGCGACAUGAAAAUAAAGAUGAACUCCACUGAAGGACAAGUUCUAGAUCUAUAUUGACAAUGUCAAAUGGGUUAUCGGGUUCUGUGAAGCCGUAUCUGUGCAGAAGUGCAGCAUUACCCAAGGAUCCAUAUGUGUUAAAAACUUGAAAAGAUUGCAAUGGAAAGAGGCAUCAAUAAACCAUAAGUGUUUACAAAAAGUAGACAACUUUGCAUCAGUCACACAAAAACAAAAUACAUGAUUGCAAAUAAUUCCAGAAAAAAUUUCAUGGAUUAAAUUAUAUGGGGUUAAAUCUAAGAAGUAAGAAGCACCAAUACAGGCACGCAAUUUUUUUGGAUACGUCAUCGACACAUUGAUUAAAAUAUUAUAUUUUUAAUUUUUCCUUUUUAACAGUCUAGAGUAAUAAUUAGGAUUCCUUUACAAGUUUGAUUUAUAAUAGGAGCUCUAGUUCUCCUGAUAGUAGCUCUUCCGCUAGCAAUCACUCUUCUGCUUUUCUUAAAUCUUUCUUUUGGCUUGCUUUUAGUUCUGACUUUCACGUUACCAUUAAGGGCGGGCUAUCAUGUAUCAUUCCCGAACGCAAUGGCUCCCCGUUAAGGCUCCAAAUGUAGCAUUUUCGACAGCGGCUAUCCCGAGCUAGCCAUCAAUCGUUGUCAGCCUCCCUUACCCCACAACCCUCACUGAAAUUCAAUUCAAUGAAAGGCAGACCCCAUAGAAGUAAGCUUGAGCUAGCUUAGCGAAGACUUCUCAAAUACUCUCCAGCCAAACCACAGAGAGAUUGGAGGUAAAAUGGGAAAUUAUAGUGGUAAAAGGUUUGCCUCCUUUUUAGAUUUAGAAAACCUCUCUUUUAUUUUUGAAUUGGGGGUAAAAGAGUAAUUCACUUGUUAAGAAAUUAAGUCAAUUUGAUUUUUUUCCAUUAACUAUAUAUCCUAAACACGCCUCUUCACUUUUUCUUCAACAAAUUUGGGUUUACUGUCUUUAGUUUUUAAGGUUGUUGAUUGAAAUCCUAGUUCGAGUUCCCUUAAAGUCAUUGAAGUGAAUACUCGACUGUAAACUUCAGAACCUCGUAGGAUUUGUCAAGGUGCACGUAAACUGACUUGGACACCCACGGUCAUCGAAAAAAAAAAAAAAGUUGUUGACUGAAAUCGCAACCUGUUCAGUUAUUCUUCCAAGAAUUAGGAUUUAGCUUCUUCGGUUUCUUUAGCCACAUGACCGAAAUCCAAUCUAGCAGCCCAAAGUUUGUUGUUAGUUGUGCCUCGCCGCCUAUUUCACUGAAUAAACAUGCAUUCUUCAAUUCUUCUUCGCAAGUGACCUCAACCACGAGUCGGCAACGUGUUGGAGACGUAGCGGUGUUGGACAAUGAAAUGCCGACAGAGUGUCAGUGAUUCCCAAGGUAAAAUUAUUGUAACAUUCAAAAGCCUUAUGCUCACACUUCAUUUCCUCAGAAGCAUACUUCAGCAACGAGCUAUAUGUGCACAUAAAAGCAUAAUUCCAACUCAUGAUCAGGAAUGAAAUUUCUAGAAAGUGGAGCGAUAUUCAGGAGCUCUUGUUAGUAGCACAAUUUUUUUAGUAAAACUAACCAGAGAACCUAUAUAAAACUCUGGAAGUAAAAUUCUUUGAGCGACUGCUAGAAUUGUGUCCACAUCAAUAGGUGUUUUGGCAAGGCCGAGUUAAACUAGCUGCUAAGUCUAAACUACCUAUGAAAAGUUAAAUAGAGAAGAUGACCAUCUUGACAGAUACAACUCUCAAAAAAGACGGGGUCAAUCUAUCUCCAAGAACAAAACUCACGUUGUUAUACAAAAAUAUAACCAAGCAAAACAACAUUCUAAUAGCAGUUAUAACAAACUACCUUUAGCUGACAUAAAGAAAUAGAAGAAAAAAAAAUUAUUGGAAAAAAGAAGUCCAUACCUCAGCUCCAGCUUUAACAUCUUUAAUCAUGAUCAUCUCCAGAAAUGUUGGGUCAUCCCCUGAAGUCCAAGAAGACCCCAUAUCACCCCCACUAAAACCAUCCUUUUCAGAAUAAGAAUCUUGAGCCAUGGGUUCAUCAUCUCCAUCAAUUUCAUUAUCAAUAUCGCUGUUGUCAAUGUCAGAGUCAUUUUCUGAUUCAGAAUGAGAAGAUACGGCUGUGAAGUGAACAUCCUCAGCAGCUGUCUUGUGAUUAAAGCUGGACAUUGUAGAAUAUUUUAUUUGUUAAGAAUUGGACAAAACAAAACCAUUGCAAUAACAAAGAGGAACAGGACAGUUUUUUUUAAAAUUUUUAUGGCCUGCCAAUAACAUUUUUUUCUUUUUUUAAUAAAAAGAGGUAAUAUAAGAUCAACGGUUAUUCCUGCACUUGCGUAAAUGACAUGUAAUUCUAGAUGGCCGAUUCACAAAAGACAUGGAAACAGUUAAUCCACUAUGCCUUUACAUGCAAAUAAUCCACUAUGAUUCAGUGGAAGACUGGUCACGAUAACAGCAUACGGAUUCAUGGUGAACGAGCGCGAACUAGAGUUGAUGUUGUGUUUCAGAAUUCAUGGUUUCUUUCCAAACCCCUUUUUUCUUUUUAAAUUUUCAUAUUUGCAUACUGUAAUAGUAGGAAAACAGAAAUUAAAGUCUUCAACUCAAAUUACAGAACAUUUGAAAGGGAAUCAGCAUGAUGAACUUGCAAAUACUACCACAUCCAGGUGUUUGCUUGUUCAAGAGCAUUUAUUAUUGCUUAACAGAAAUACUACUCAUCAUUGAAUGGUGACCCCUUCUAACAAUUGCUCAACCUUGGUGAUUUAAACAGAGACUGCUAGUUUGGAACACAAUUCUGGAUAAGUCUAGACACAAAAUGAUGAAGAUUUUAGCUUUUUUUCCUUCCUUAAUAUUGUCCAUUACUAUCCAAUCCUCUUUACUAAGCACACCGAAAAAUUUAGCAUCUAUACCAUAACAAGAAAACAAGAACGAAAAAGAAAAAGCAUUGUCCAAAGUGAUAUCCAUUUGAUGCAUAAUAAUUCAUGUUAAAAGUUCUACCAAAUAUCUUGAAAUUACUGGAUUUUGUACAUUGGUCUUAAAAAAAUAAAAAAUAAUAAAUAGAAGUGGGAAGGCUUAGAUCUUUUGAAAAUAUGCAACAAAUAUUGUUUGUGGAUUGAAAAUCAAAGCAUAAACUGAAAUGAAAUGGGGGCAGGAGGGUUAAACUUGAGUCAACUACUACAACAAAUGACAGAUCAAUGUUGCAUUCUUAAUAAGCGCUCGUAUUAUCAUAUUAUGUACUCUUAUAAUUUCAGAAAAUACAUUUUUGAACUUCCUUAAGCUUUCAAAUAGUUCCAUGCUGUCGAUGAAGUUCAAAUGAGGAUUAAUUUUGAUAUAUGAAGUACUAAAGAUUACAUGGUGUUUAGCCCUGCCAGUAAAUUCCAUCUUAAAGUACAUUCAUGACCAAAAUUGUGAAAUUAUCAGCAGAAAACUACCCUUGCUGCCAUAUUAUGAAUACGAAGUUGCAAAUGUUUACAAGAUGAAGAUUUUCCAUUGCUCGUACAAGAGAUAUAUGGAAUAUGGAUAUUUCUCUACAAUGGUCCAUUGUGCUUUAUACGAACAAGGAAGUACAAUCAUGCAUUAAUUUGAUUGCUAAACAAAACAUUACUUUUCCGUUUCAUUUUAAUCCCAAUUUCCUUCAUUAAUAGCUAUUUGGACAUUUUUUUCAUGUAAAAAUAUUUUCCCUGUGCUAUGUGCAUGAUGUCGAGCUAGUUUCAAUAAAAUUACAAAAAUCACAAGAUCACGUAGAACUUACAGGUCUGCCAAAGGAACCAUCCCAAAUCCAUGGUAUUUGUCUAUCUCAAAAGACCGCGAAGAAAUCAGACUUCUUGCAGUAAAAUACUCUUGGAUGCUAAAAAAAUUCGGAUUAAGCUCCAAUAAAGCCGAACCAAGAAGCGGUUCAAUACACUCUUUCCAGUCUUCAUAGAACAGGGCUUUGUCUUCUUUAACUGUCUGCCUAACAAUUGCCCCAAAUACUCAAAUAUAAAUCUACAUAAAUAGGUGCACAUAGCCAGUGACUGUAACGUGUUUGGCUAAGCUUGAAAGCAAAUUACUUUUAAAUAGCUUUUUGCUUCAAUAUGUAUUUAUAUAAGUUACAUUAAAUAGAGGCGGAUUUUUNNNNNNNNNNNNNNNNNNNNNNNNNNNNNNNNNNUUUUUUUUGGGGGGGGGGGGGGGGGGGGGGGCUACCCCUCUCAGGCCCAAUAGCUUUUUUUAAGGUAUUUUUUAUUUUUUUUGGUAAAAAAUCAUUUUUUUAUGUGUAAAAAAAAUUUUUAGGCAUAGUAGCCCGGUUUGAAAUUUUGUAGCCCCGUCUUGAAUCAAAUCCUAAAUCCGCCCCAAUUUUACUUAUAAGUAUAAAGCACUUACUAACUGCAUCUUCGGUCCCUUAUAGAAGUAACUUCUUUCUUGCUUCUUUUCGGCUUAUUAGGACAGUAAGAGCAUGCCAAAAAGAAGCUCCAUUUCAUGCCUUGUAACUUAAUCUUGACUAAAAAAAGCUGAAUGUUUCUAAAACAAACUUAUUUACUUAUUAAGAAAUAACCAAUUAAGCUUAGCCAAACAUGAAACAUUCUUAAUAUUGGGUGAACGACAAUGGACUAACCUUGUGGAGCUCAGUUCCAGAGAGGAAAGAGUCAAUUUCAGGGAAGGACCAGAGCAUUGGAAUGGGCUCGAAGGGGGGCAAUAACUGGAGAUAUUGGAACCAGGGCGAUUGAGGGCCGAUGCUCUUCUCGUACAUUACAGCAAUGGAGAGGCCCAAAUUACCGCCGAGCUGGGACUCUUCGAUGAGUUGGUGGGCACCAGUCGUCUUGACGGUAAGGCAACUCUGCUUGGGAAUCCUCCCCACCACAUCGCCCAGGCGCAAAUCACACAAAGCUUCGACUGAGACAGAGAGUGAUUCUGCCGAUCCUUUGGCGAUUGCGAGAUGGAGUGCGUCGCUGCAUUCAAUGCCUUGACACUUCAUCCAUCGCUUGAAUGCUCUCAUUCUCCUAUUAUCAAUCGUUAUAUGUAAAUUUUACACUUAGUUAUAUUUUGUUAUAGAAGUAGAACAGUGUCGACGGAGGGUGAUUUACCUGGUGGCGGCCAUUGAGGUGGGUCGCGGAGGUGCAGCCCACGGUGAGUAGGCGGUGCAACGAAGUCUGUGUGACGGUCCAUUUGAGAGUUUUGAUAGCCAAUAUUGGGCCAAUUCGAGAGACACAGUGGAGCCCAAUUGUGCAAAUAAUAGUCCAAAGUACGGGCUGUUGUCGGGUUUAAAACAUGAGGAAAUUACAGGAUUCCAGGUAUUUAAAUAUGUGAGUGUAAAAAUAAGGUGCAAAAUUUUUUUAAUUAGAAAUCAGGUAUUAUUUAUACUCACACUACCUAAUCCAAACAAACCCUAAUCAUUUUUUCAUAUUCUCAGAUUUUUCAUAUCUUGCCUCCCCCAUCCCUCCCUCCUUCCAACCUCUAUCAUCAUUGAGGAGCACCGCCAUCGAAGACAUGAGAGUCGAGCGGAGGCAUAGUUGCUGCGGUGCGGCGCCCUCGCGGACGGUGUUGUGAGCAAUAUGGUUGGUCAAAGUUGUCACCCAGUCGAUCGGAGAUCCGCGGAGUCAGCGCUCACAGCUGUAUCAUUGUGGUUGCUCUGUGCGACUAGCUAGUCAACGACGAUGCAGCAGUGUCUCGAUGCGCAGAAGUGUGUAGAAGCAGGUUUGUUGGUGCGAUGUGAGUGGAAGUCGGUUUGUAUUGGUGGCAUGUGAUGUGAGUUCUAUGUUUGUGGAAGCUGAUUUUGUUGGUGCUAUGUGGGUGUUGUGGUGUGGUGCAGUGUGAUGAUGUCCGUAUUUUUUGCAGCGACGGUGUUGGUGGUAGAUUUGGCGACGACGAUGGUGUGGUUCAGACUGCGAUGAUGGUUUUUUUUGGUGUGUUUGGUGGUGGUGGUGGAUCUGGUUACAUCGAUUUUGUUGAUGUUGAUAUUGGUGUUGGUGGUGGCGAUGGUGGUGGCGACGAGGUAAGGGUGGUUGCAAGUGACUGUGGUGGUAGUGGAGUUGGUGGUGACCGACUAUUUGACUUGUGACUAAAAAAGGUAAAAUGUGACUAUCACAUUUGAAAAUAUGUGACCUGUGACUAUAAAUUUUUAGAUUUGUGAUUUAUAAUUUUUUAAUCUGUGACCUCGACAUAAUUUGUGACUUAUCAAAUUUGUGAUUUGUGACCUCGAAAAAAUUCGUGACCAAUUAACUUGAUGAUAUAUGAUCGAUAAAUAAAAUCUGUGACCUAUAAUUGUGAAUAUGUGACCAUAAAUAGUAUAAUUGUGGCUUUAUUAUCAUUAUUUAAUAAAUAUUUUUAAUUAAUUAGCUAAAACCUAAUUUUUGCACUAAAGAAACUUGUAACAUGAAUUUUGAAUUGGGCAUAGUUAACACUUGAUUUAUGAACUCUUCCCUUAAAAUAGUUCAUGGUAAUUUCAACAUAAUGUCUCGGGGAAAUUAGGCUUAAUCAAACUUUUUAUUUUUCAAAGUUCAAAAAUUAUGUCUUUGAAAAAUAUUUUCUCCUAUUUUGUUAACUAGAUUUUAAGGGCUUGUUUGUUAUCAACGCUUUUGUACUUAAGUGAUUUAACGUUUAAGAUAUUUAGGUAAGAAAAUCGAGAUGUUAAGAUUUUUCAUAUAAUUUUUUGGAAAGAAGUUGUAAUGUAAUGUCUCGAUCCGCCGAAACUUUUGUCUUGGUGGUUAAUUAACUAAAGAAAUAGGGUUAGCGAGUCUAUAUAUGAAUCUUGAUUUUGUAAAUAUUUAAUCAGCUAUGCUACCUGUAUAGGCCCAUUUGCACAGGCCUGUACAAGGGGUGUAACAUGGGGGUGGUUAGGGGGUGUCAGCAAAUGGGCCUGUACAGAGAGCUUUUUUCGUAUUUAAUUGGUGUACUCGUUUAAACAAACAUAAUCAAACUGAAGUAUUAAGAGGCGACUUGUAUAUGCAUGCUCCAAUUUUAAUUUAUUUUAGGUCAUAAUUGUGAUUAGAAUAUAAACAAGUUAACUUCAACUCUAAGCAAAUAAAGGACUAAAAAGUUCAUUGCUUGACACACAAUAAUACUAUCUCAGCAUGAUCAUCAUGAUAAAAUAAAAAAUUUCAAAAAUAAAUUUUUAGGCAAAGUUUUGAGAUCCCCAUAUUGUAUUCGCUGCAAAUGUAGUAGACAAUCGCUAUUUACAUGUGUAGAAUAGCAUAAGUGGAAAACUUUUUUAUUCCCUCUUUGGCACGAUUUCAUUUUGAGAAGUAAAAAAGUGGUAGUUUUUAAGAUUUUAUUUUGGUUUAUUAUACUAAUAUCUUAGUUUUCUUAUAUUGCAUCGUAUUUUAAUUGUACUAAAGGUCUUGUCUCAUUUAGUAAAUCGUUGCUUAUUGUAACACUUUGUGUUCCUAACUUUUUACGUUGGAUUGUCGUUUAACAUUUCAUUAAUUAGCACGAAUGAUAGUUGAUUAUGGUUUCUGUUCGAAUUUUAUGCUUGCGUGUUACAAGUGAUGGGCAACUAUUUUAUCACACACUUGUAUUUAUUAUUUUUUGAAAAUUAUGAAGGAUGAAUAAGUCUUUUUAUGAAUUUUAACUGAUUUUUUGGACAAAAAUUAUUAGGCCUUGUUUGAUUGGUUCGAACAAGGUUAACAAAUUCUAAGAAUUAUUGGCAAAAAAUAUUUUCUUUUAAUUGACAAUUCUUACGUAAAACAAAGUCAAAUUAACAUCUAAAGAUAGAUGGUUUUUUUUGUUUUUUAUUUUUUGCAAUGGAAGGAAACAAAUUUUAUUCCCAGUACCAAUAAACUCUAUCAUUUUAAUUGACAAUUCGUAUGUAAAACAAAGUCAAAUGAACACCAAAAGAUAGAUGGUUUUUUUGAUUUUUGAUUUUUUUAUUUUUUUUGCAUUGAAAGGAAACAAAUUUCAUCCCCAAUACUAAUAAAUUAUAUUCUUUUAAUUGACAAUUUUAUGUAAAACAAAGCAAAUGAAUACCAAAAAAAAAAAAAAAUUUUAUUUCAACAUUUUUUACGUGGAAAAUUAUAUCAAUCAAACACCAAUAAUUUACAAUUAUCAUGAAAACAAUUUUUUGACAAUUCAAUUCUUUGAAAUUUAUUUUCAAUUUUAUCUUUACAAUCAAAUGGCCCCUUAUUGAAAACAAAAUGCGCUAUUUAAUUGAAUGUUAAAUAUAAGAAUGAGAAGAAAAAAGUUGAAGAAAUAAAUAUGACAAUAACAGAGGUUGUAAACCUUUUUACCGCACCUAAAAAGUAGUCCAAUUAUUUCUAGUCCAACAAAAGAAAUAAUCAGUCUUCUACAUUUAGCUUUCAUAAUUAUCUAUCACAAAAAUUCCAAAUGUAACCUUAUGAAUUAAAUUAUUUUCUUUUCUGUCAUAAGUUUUUAUUGGUAUUCUAAUUUUAUAAAUUUUGAGAUGUAGGGUUUAUAAUUUCUGUCAUAACUUUCAAGAAAUCAAAAUAAGUUGUUGAUUUUUGAUUUCUUGAGAUUUAAAAGUUACUUUUGAACCCGUUUGACCAAUUUCAUAAAAGCACUUUUUUUAGUUAGAAGAGUUUUUAGCUUUGUUUAAAAGUACUUUUCAAAAUAUAAUGUUUUUAAGAAAUUAGUUUCUUAACAAAAAUUAAGGUAACAGUCUCAAAAAACUCUUUUACAGAAAGUUCAAAAAAGGGUAAAAGCCAUGCUAAACGAGUCAUUAAUAAACUUAAUUUUUUGUUUUUUAAUAAAUUAAAACUUUCUUAAUAAUAAUUAUGGCGAACAUAGUGUCUUAGAUAAAUAACUAAUAUUAUUAAAUAUUGAUACAUAAAAAAUAUCAUUAUAAUCAAUAUUCAGCUAAUGAUGAUAUAAAUGCAUAACAAUUAAAUACUUUUGUUUACUUAACACUCCUAUGUUGAUUUCGAAACUUUUAUAUAGAACAUUUAAUUAGGUGUUCUCUUAACUCAUUACGACUCGACAGGGGCGGACUCACAUGGGGUCAUGUGAGGUCAAAUGACCCCACACUUUUCUGGAUUUUUUUUUUUUUUUGCUGAAAACUUAAUUUUCUGUCCCAAAAAGUCCAAAUUCUAAAUUUAUAUCCAUAUCAUAUAGCCCAUAUCCAUUAUUUAGUCUAUAAAUAUAUCACAAAAUUCACCGAUUUCUUCCCAAAGUGCAAAUAUCGAAUAUGAACAGCAAACAACCGAUUUUUCUUUUUUGUUUAUGAUACGUUGUUCGAAAAUUUUUUUUUUUGACCCUACAGUUCGAAUAGUCUGAAUCCGCCCUUGCUUCUCGAGUAUAGUUAAAGUCAACUACACUAUAAUCUACCGUUAAAAUAAAAAUAAAUAUAGACACAAAAUGAGUUGGGAUAUAAAAGAAUGAUAAUGAUGGUCGAGGGAGGCCGUCGACGUCUUCACCGUGGAUUUUCAAGCAGUGGGACAUGGCAAAAUGGGAAUUAAAAUAUCUUUAUUUUCUACUAUUUUAAAAUAUAAUUUUAUUUUAUAAACACCAAAAUAAAAUAUAUAAAAUAAGAUAAGAGUCCAAGUUGCUUAGUCCAAAUAGUUAUUUUUUCCUUUAAGCGGCAUGCACAUAUUUGGUUGAAUGCUUUUAUAUCCCCAAAGCGCCCACACAAUUUUUCAAGCCCCUCAAAUCGCUGCGCGCCCCAGUUUGGCUUCUUAGAGCACGCGAGAAACUGCGUGAAGAGGUAAAAAUCCCAGUAAAAAUUGCUCAUAUUUUGUGCAAAACCCAUUCUUAAUCAAUAUAUGUAACAUAUGUACGAGUGGAUCCCAUCUCGGAAUUGCAAAUUUCUCAGUUACAAUCACAAAAGCCGAGUCAGGAAAUUUUUUUUUUUUUUUUUAAUCAUUGUUCGAUUUUCUAAGACUAUUUUCGAUGUUCUUAGUGACAAUUCUUCCUUAAACCGUGUAUUUGGCGCUCAUUCAUCUAACCGAAGGUUACUUUUCGUUCUUCCCUAAUUAUACUUCUUUAGAACUUUAUUUAUAACUGGUAUUUUUAAUUUGAUCUGCCUGUAGGUAUAUAAGUUUAGGUAAAAAAACUGGUUAGAGAUGUAAAGCUUUAAACUUUAUUUUGUUAUUUUUACACGUCAGUUUUCCUCAGUUUAUUUGGGUUAUCAAAAUAAAUUGUUUUUUUGUUAAUCAAAUUCUUGUAGCUCAUAAUGCAGUGGUUUUCUUUUUUGAUUUUAAUUUUAAUGAAAUCGUAUUUUGUGGGUUUCGACCCGGAUCGUUUUGUGGUUAAGACAAUGAAAAUGUGAUAGCAUCACUAACAAGUGGCAAGUAUAUGAAUUUACAUCAUGGUACGAGUAAUGAGUUACUGAGUUAGUGCAAUUCAAUUGUUACCUCGAUCAAUUUGGGUUUAUGGCUGAGUUUUCGUGCAAAGAAGUAUUACUCUUUUUAUCAAAUUAGAGGCACUUUUGAUUGCACAAUAUUAUAUUCAUUAAUCACUCCAAAACCUUUCAUUUCCAUGUGAACAUUAUUUUCACCAUGAGUACGUUCACCCACUCUUGAUCAAACAUAUGAAGUGGGUUUGAUUAGCUUCUCACAACAAUCAGAUUUUCGGCGAGGCAUAAUUAAAGGUUUUUAUACGUUCUCAAGGCAUAAUUAAAGGUUUUUAUGCCUUCUCGUAGGCAUUAAAAGUUAUUUGGGAAUUGUUUCAAGAACAUGUGUAUUCUCCUCGUUUUUUUGGGUAGAAUAUAAAAAUUUCCUUUUUCUCUUUUGAUAUCUCUGGACGGAUUAAAUUAGUUUCUUUAAUCUCAAGAAACAUUUUAAAAUAUUUUAUGCCCGUGUUAAUUUUUCCUUUUUAUAAAAUGUAGGAUACAGUAAUUGGUGUUUUUGAUUCUAUGUCCUAAGAGAGAUUAAAUUAUUUAAUCUGCAAGAAUAUGAAUACUACUCCUAACAGAAGGUCACAUGAGGAUGGUGGCAAUGGUAGUGGCAAUGUGGGCAGUGGUGGAAGUCAUAGUCACUCCUCUGCUUUGAAAUACCCACAUGAAGACCAUGGCACGCUCUCUAGUGUUGGCGGGAAGGUGACAGCAUCAGCUAGGCAGGAGUACCAUGCUCCAUAUGAUAUGGGUCAGGAUGCUCGGAUGCCUAAGAUUAUGCCACGAAAUGAGUCGCGUGAUAUGGACAGGAGAUUGCCUUUGCUUCCAAAUAUGUUGUUCAGGGUAUCAUCGUCAUCAAAUGAAUCACUUUCUGAUCAUGUUAUUGGUUCAGAAAGCAGGCUGGAACGGAGGGAUUCCAAAGACUGUGACAAGGAUAUUAAGGUUGAGAACCGUGAUGUUAUAGCUGAACCAAGGGGUUUGCACCAGAGUGGUAAAGGUGAUAACAAUGUGAAACAUGAAAGCCGAGUUGAUGAAAGUAAAGAUGCAAAGCAUGAAAGGGGGGAUGCUUUUCCGGAACAUGAUGGUGACAUUAGUCUGGAUAAGGAGGGUUUGAAUGGAUCUAAUAGUCGCUUGAACUGGAAAGAUUCUAAAGAACAUCAUGGAAAACAGUAUCCUGAUGCCCCUGGAGGAAGUGUGGACCCCUGGCAUUCCUCGCGUACAAACAUGCAUGGCCCAAUUGAAGCUAGAAAGGAAGUCUCAAAUGUUGAGGACAGGGACUUUGCUGAAGCUCAUGAAGCUGUUGGAGAGAACAAGGUUGAUUUGAAAGGGGAUGAUAAGGUUAAAGACAAAGAUAGAAAGAGGAAAGAAGUGAAACACAGGGACUGGGGGGAAAGGGAAAGAGAAAGAGGUGAUCGUCGGAACAACUUGCAACUGGAAAGUAGCAGUGGCGAGAACAAAGAGGUAUUAAGGGAAGAUAGAGAGUCUGAAAGGUGGGGGAAUGAAAAGAAAGAUCCUGCGAAAGACAAAGAAAAACUGAAUGACAGGGCAAAGGAUUAUGUGAAGAGGGAAGUAUUGAAUGGAGGAGAGAAAGAGGCUUCCCACAAUGAGAAAAAACCAAUGGAGAUUUCUGGAAGAUCAUCGGAACAGGAAAAUUUGACACUAGAACAGAAGAAACAGAAAGAUCAUGAUAGCUGGAAGAACAUUGACAGGGGCACGAGAGACAGAAAGAAGGAAAGGGAAUUCGACAUAGAAGCCGAGAGACCUGAUAAACGCAGUAGGUAUCAUGAAAAAGAAUCAGAGGAAGGGGGUAUUGAUGAUGAAGGGAGUACAGAAAGGGAAAUAGAGGCUUUUAACAGUGGUAUCCAGCAGCGAAAGAGGAUGCUUCGGCCGAGGGGCAGCCCUCAAAUGGGAAAUCGUGAACCUCGUUUUAGGUCCCGCAGCCAAGAUAUUGAAGGGUAUGACUUUCCAUUUGUUGAAUGAAGAAUUAGUUUUUAAGGGGUUUAGUUAUUAUGAUUAGAUCGUUUCAUGAUUUCUUCAUGCGCUUUUAUAUUUAUUUGGGUUUAUGCAUUUACUAUCUUGCCAAUUAGGCCCAUAUUGUUUCCAUUUUUUCGUAUCUAAGUAGCUGUUAGUGAUAUGUAAGUGUACUUUAAAUUUGAAGUUUUGCUUUGUCCAAAAUAAGUUAUGCUCGGUUAUAGCAAAAGUAUGUUGAAACUCUUUCAGAUUUUAUUGGUUUAAGCAUAAUCUUGGAGUCAUUUUUUGUUUUUUGUGUUUCAUGAUUGUGAAACCAUGAUCAUGUGCACUUCUUUUCAUAUUUUUGACAUGUCCAUUUCAUUGCAAAAUGCGAAGGGGGAACAUAGCAUAUAAGAUGUACAUAAAACAGAUGAUAUCUAUCAACCUAUGAUUUUAAUAUAAAUUUUCCGUAUGCUGUUCAAAGUUAAAAAUUAGGAACUUUUAUCUCGUAUCCAAUUUCUUUCCAAAAAUCUCAAAAAAUUGUGAAUGGUCGCUUAGCUCAAUUCUGUACUUCAUAUUUCUUUGAUCUUUGACUGGUGAUGUUUGAGUCUUAUGAUAGGGAUUCCAAGAAUUCAUGUGUCAAAUGUACUAUAUUUCAUUGGUACACUGGUAAAGAUGUCAUCAAGCAGUAAAUAGGGCAUGAAUUGCUGUUUUGUUUAUACACCAUAACCUUCCAUAAAAAUCUAAGAUCUCAUGCACAUGGGAGUUUAUCUCCAUUAGAAUUCCUAUUUUGAUGUCAGAAUAUGGUAACUUGACAAGUUUCUCUAGUGUCUAUGAGGAAGUUUUGGACCGUUGGCCCGAAUGACUGCAGUAUCUAUCCCUUUACAUUUUUUAUACUAUAUGCAGUUAAAACAUUAUAAAAUGUAUUUGUUACUUUUUGUUAUGCACAUUACAAGAUACACUUUUGAAACCAGUGCUGCUUCUAAUUCAUUGCCUCUGUUUCACAUGGUUUUACCAUAGGAAAAGUGACUUUUACUUUUUUUCUUUUUCUUUUUCUUUUUUUUUUUUUUGGUGGGAUUCAAACUUGAGACCUUUUGCCUUAGCCUUAGUCCUUUUACCAUUGAACAAAGACCUCAGAUACUCAUUUUUGAGGCGCCCAAAGACAAUGUCUUUUGGAAAUUAAACUACACCAUACUAAAUGCAAUCGUUAAAUAUUUAGAGAUAUAAGCUAAGGAGUUGAGAUGAUAUGAACUUACCUUAAUUUUUGAAGUAAAACUUGCGCUAACUCAGUAUUUCCUUAUUCAGAUACUACACAUAGUACUUCACAUAAGCAUAGAUUUGAUUCCUAGAGUUGAGGUGUUUCAAUGUUUCAUGCUAUGAAAUUGGAUGUAGUCAUAAUGUUUUCUCUCUAGGAGUUUCGCUUGAACUUUCUUGGCACUCUCAAAAGCUUGAAGAAAGUGUAGAAGUGGAAAAUAAUAGAACGAAAAUCAUUAUAAAAGCACUAAAAUUAUGAUGUCCAUUACUGUUUGCCAUCAAUAUAGUAACGGGCACAUUAUGAUUUGGUAACAAAAUUAAAUGUCUCGGGAAAAAGUUGCAGUUUGCAUUAAAUGAGUAGGGUCCUUUUAUUUCCCUCAUUGAAUAAGGACGCGUAUCAUUAUCUCAGAAAGAGGCUCCUUAAGACAGCUGCUUGCAGAUUGAGAGUUCUAGUCUGAAUCGCUCAAAAGGGCUUAGGGUCUUUUGCAUAUUGCGACUGCAACUCCCUGUUUCUCUGAGCAACAUUAUGCACGAGCAAGUUUAUAUUCUCCGUCCCCAUGGAAUGUUUAAAUAGUUGUGAUUUUUGGUGUGUAGUACUCAUGCUCUUCAUGAUUCUUCAUUUUGCUCUUUAAAAUGUCAGAAAAUUGGAGCUGCUCUCCGACCCGACCAUUCAAUUCUAUUGAAUGGAGUCAGGGUCGUUCCUUAAGGCAGCCAAAGCGAGCCCCUUUAUUUUGAAUUCGUUAAUUCAGAAUAUCUAUGUAUCGUAAGUGACCAUAGAAACUUCUAGGGACUCCCAGUCUAUGGAAGAUUGGGGGUUAGAACAAAAGUUAAAGGAACAGAAGAGCCAUACCCUCUUUCUUUCGAUUACUUUCAGGGUACUCACAUAGCCAAUUUUCCAUUUUUGAUAGAAGGUGCUGCCUUUGGUACUACUCUUAUCUGAUGUACAAUAGAAACAUUUGAGUCUUCAAUUUGGACUUUUUUGCCAUUUUUUUCAUCUGUGAAUUGUUAAUAAGGAGGGGUGGGGGAGAAGGGUUGCAUUAGUAAGUCUGUUUAUAAAUUACAGUGAUCUGCCUUCAAACGUUGUAGUUUCUCAUACUUAUCAACUAAUUCUUAGAUUAGUUAAAUGACUUUUACUUUUGCUUCUUGAGUUCAAGCAUAUCUAGGAGUUGCUAAUCCGAAUGAAGAAAAUGUUCAAUGUGAAAGUAGCUUUGUUUUUCCUUUUUUCCCCCCUACUAUUUUUACUUUUCUUGUUUUCAUCGAAGUAUAGAUAUCACAGUUUAUAAAAAUGAAAGGGAAUGAUAAUUGGCGAUUGGUAAUAUGUGAUUUAUCUUAUUAGUAUGUGCGAAUAAUUUUGAGUUUUCCCUUUUCCCGGAUAGUAGUGUCAUUUAACCAUUCACUGGAGAAAGAAUGGUUAUUACAUUUAUGUGCCACAUGUCCAUCCCGAAUGGCAAAACAUGGACAAGUCCUUGUGUACUUUUUGCCACUUCACGUUCUCUUAAGUUGUAGCUUUCCUUUCUUUCUUCUUACAUAAGAUUCAUUUAUUGUUGUUAUAAUCUGGAUAAAUCUGCAUAUCUUUUGAAUUACGCCAUGAUAUUUUAUUAACUAAUAAGAGCAUUUAAUAUAUUCUGAUUCUUGAGUAGUCCAUAUUAAUUGCUAUAUUAUGUUAUUUUGAUGCUGGGAAAAAUAAUGGCCUGCUACAUUUUUGGAUAUUGUUCUUCAUCACUUCAGUGCAAAGUUGGGUAAUAUGAUUUAUUAGGAGAACUUUCCUUGAUUGGGGUUGAAAUGAUGGGCUUAACCAUUUUAUGUUUCAAUUUUAUGCAGGUCACAAGGUAAGCUGUCAAUUCAUGUCCAGCCGGAACUCUUAUUUGGUUAUUAUUAGACAGGAAGUUCUUUCUCUUCACUUGUUUGGUAUUAGCUGAAUUUACAAUUACUGAACAUUAUUAUUAAAUUAUACACAAUAUUCAUUGGCUGUGACGUAAAUCUUAUGUUUGUGAUACUGUAUGAAUCAUUGUUCUUUAUCAAGGACGUGAUAUUUGACGAAGUCUUCAUUUUCACAAUAUUAUUUUGAAAUUAGAAUAGGAACUUUCUCAAAUGAGAUAAUUGUAAUCUGGAAGAAUGCUGGAUCCAGAGGUUCUGUAUGAAAAUGUUUGUUAAGAUGUAGCUCUCUAAUGCAUAUAAUUCACCUGCCUUUUAAUUUUGUGCAACUAACUAUAUGGUUCCUGUUAAUGUUAUUGGCCUUGCAAAAUGCUUAUUGCUGCCUUCUGAAUUUGUUGUGUGGAACAUCCUUUUCAGUUUGCUUUGCCCUUGGGACUUGUAAUUGAUAUUUCAUUCUACAUGGACAAAUAGUCUUACAAAGUGCUGCUUGUUGCCUUCUAUCAGCUGUCUGGAAUAUGAUUUUUCAGUUUGCUUUGCUCUUGGGACGUGUAAUUGUUAUUUCAUUCUACAUUUUCAACUGGUCUUGCAAAAUGCUGCUUGUUGUCUUCCGGUUCAUGCCUUUUCAGCUUGCUUUGCCCUAGGGUUAUGUAUUUGUGUUAUUUCAUUGUACGUUAUUUCAUUUAUUUGUGUUAUUUCAUUGUACGUUUACUUUUUUCUUCGGACUUUAUAUUUAUUAGUUUUAAUUGACUUGAUUAUAUGUUUUGACUUUGUGAAUGAUUACUUCUUGUGGGGAUAGAAGUCUUUUCACUCACAUGGUUCGUUUCCAAUCUAACCACUACUUUAUAUGGAAUUUCUCCGUGCCUAAUGUCCACAUUUCAACAUUGCUGCCUCUUCUUGACAAGAACUUUGAUUUCAUGUGCUGCUGUUUAAGCUGUGUAAAAGCUCUUCAUGGAUGCUGUGUCCCUUCUUUUAGUUGCAUUUGUUUUUUUCUUUGGACUUGUGUCUAGAUUAAAUCAUUCAUGUUAUCACAAUCUUAAUUUCUGUGCCAAAAAGUAUAUAAGAAAGUUUAUUAUACUAUGAUGAGUACACUUUUGGGUAAAAAUUUUAGUUUGGUUGGUUUAAACCCAUCAUGUGAAAAUAUAUGAUGUCCUACUUUUGUCAGCAAAAGUUGUUUGCAGGUUAUAAAACAUUUUAAACUGCUAUUUUCUAAUUCCUUAUUUUUUAGAUUCAGCAUGAUGUUAGCAUUCAUGUAAUAUGAAAUUUGAAUAUCAACAAUUGCUAGUACUUUGUUGUAACUUAUGUCGACAAAAGAAAAGUUGAAAUUAACUGUUAAUACCGUGUUCAAAAAAUUCACUGAAGCUGCUGACUCCAUAUGUUUUUAGUUUCACAAGUAUUUAAGAAGCUGUCUAAGCAAACCUGUUAGCUUAUUUUGUACCCUUUUCUGUUAAAUGCUCCUUUUGCCUUGUUAUCUCUUGGGGGACUUCUUGAAUUGAUUGCUUGUCUGUCUAGCGGAAUGGACCUGAAAAGUUGAUAGCUCCAGUUAUUGUGUCUUUUCCUAUAGAAUCAAACUAACCUACUUAUUCCAAAGUUAUUGAAUUUCCAGGUUUUGAUUUAGCAUAGAAGGGUAAAAUUUUAAUGAGGGGAGUUUGCGUUGUGUAAUAUAGUUUCUGACAUCCCACCCUUUGGACAAGAAAGAGCAAAUGUCCAAUGGGAUUAAAUUUGGUGGCAUAUCGAGUCCCAAAUGUUUAUGAAGUUAUAAUUUAUUUGAUGACUAUUUAUCAAUUUCUAGUUGACAUUUUUGGGACGUAUGGUCUCAAGUAAGCAUCAGCAUUUACUUUAUAUGGCUGUGAUAAGAAUCUUAAUAGCUUUCCACUCUGGAAUAUGUGCUUUAAGGCCAUAUAUAAAUCUCAUCAUAUUGAUUGCCAUAAUUCUGAGAACGUAUAUUUAAAUAUUUGAUUUUCUUCAAGAAAAUAAUUAGAAAAACACGCAUAUAUCCUAAAACUGGUCUUUUAAGCUAAAUCAAAAAUCAUUCUCAUGAUAUAGAUAGAGCUACUGGUUUUCACAAAUGAUUUAGUUACUAAUUGGGAAAUCUUCAUCAUAAUAACGUUUUUGAUGAAGCUGUGAUGUUACUAUACAGGUAAGGCUGAUAUGUCUUGUGUCGUUUACAAAAUUGGUGGAUGCAUGCAAGAACUGUUGAAGUUGUGGAAGGAAUUUCAAUCCUCACAAGCUGAUGGAACAUGUGAAAUCUCUCAAAAUGCUCCUACCCUAGAAAUCCGGAUACCAG
rnacentral:lncRNA from 1 species